GUCACGAAUCUUCCACAAUGGGCGAAAGCCUGAUGGAGCAAUGCCGCGUGCCAGAUGAAGCCCUUCGGGGUGUAAAUGGCUUUUGUCAGGGACGAAACAAUGACGGUACCUGACGAAUAAGAGGUUGCUAACUCUGUGCCAGCAGCAGCGGUAAUACAGAGACCUCGAGCGUUAUCCGGAAUCACUGGGCGUAAAGCGUGCGCAGGCGGUUUGGUAAGUCAGGUGUUAAAUCCUAGGGCUCAACUCUAGGACCGCACUUGAAACUACUAAACUCGAGUCUGGGAGAGGUGAGUGGAAUUGCUGGUGUAGGGGUAAAAUCCGUUUAUAUCAGCAGGAACACCAGAGGCGAAAGCGGCUCACUGGAACAGUACUGACGCUGUUGCACGAAAGCGUGGGGAGCGAAUAGGAUUAGAAACCCUUGUAGUCC
rnacentral:rRNA from 1 species